rnacentral:rRNA from 1 species
AAUCAACGCUGGCGGCGUGCCUAACACAUGCAAGUCGAACGCGAAAGUCCCGCAAGGGAUAAGUAGAGUGGCAAACGGGUGAGUAACGCGUGGGCGACCUACCUUCGAGUGGGGGAUAACAUUCCGAAAGGAGUGCUAAUACCGCAUGACAUCCUGCGUUUAGAUACGCGGAGAUCAAAGCCGGGGAUCGUAAGACCUGGCGCUUGAAGAGGGGCCUGCGUCCGAUUAGCUAGUUGGCGAGGUAAUGGCUCACCAAGGCUCCGAUCGGUAUCCGGCCUGAGAGGGCGGACGGACACACUGGAACUGAGACACGGUCCAGACUCCUACGGGAGGCAG